rnacentral:rRNA from 1 species
UACGUAGGGUGCGAGCGUUAAUCGGAAUUACUGGGCGUAAAGCGUGCGCAGGCGGUUCGCCAAGUCAGGUGUGAAAUCCCCGGGCUUAACCUGGGAAUUGCGCUUGAAACUAGCGGGCUUGAGUGUGGGCAGAGGGGGGGUGGAAUUCCACGUGUAGCAGUGAAAUGCGUAGAGAUGUGGAGGAACACCGAUGGCGAAGGCAGCCCCCCUGGGUCAACACUGACGCUCAUGCACGAAAGCGUGGGGAGCAAACAGG